rnacentral:ribozyme from 1 species
AAAAAAAAAAAAUCGAAAUAGAGAAGAAGAAAAAAAACUUUCAUCGCCUCCCCUCCCCCUUUUCUGGGUCCGGCGUUUUCGUUUUUCACUUCAUUUUUGUCUGUC